UCUUAUGUGAAGUCCGGGCAAGGCAGAAUCUUCAAUGACAAAAUCACCGUAAAACUAAAACUCCUUUUCCUUUUCCUCUUCUUCUUCGCCUUCCUAAAAUGAGAUUGAGGUCAGGGUUCUUUUACACUACAACCAUGCCUAGUUUAACAAACCCUUAACAACCGUGCAAUCGAAUUUAGAAAGAAAAACCAAAACCCACGAAAAUGUCAACGACAUCAUCAUCACCGUCAUCGUCAGCCUUCUCGGUGAUCUGUCUGCUCCACUCGGUGAUCGCCUUGUCAAGCGGCGCGCUCAUGAUGUUCCACAUGAAGGAAAUCUACACCUUCACGCAUGGGAUCGAAACCGCCACGAGACUCCUGGGCUCGACCCCACAUGAUCAGCUCCUGAUCCGGACCUCCGAUUCUUUCUCGGGUUUGCUCUUGUUCGCGAUUGGGUUCUUGCUGUUCAUGGUCUCUUCCGUUAAAGACAAAGAGUUCCAUUCGUUCUUUGCCAAAGGUUGCACGGUUUUACAUGUUUUCACGGCGAUGUGGAGGUUCUGGUUCGAGAGAAGGGUUGAGGAUUUGGCUUGGGAUUGGCUUAGGCAGACAGUUGGCGACAUUUUGUUGGCUCUCUCUUGGGUAUUCUUUUUGGUUUACUCUUGGAGAGAAAAGUAUGAUUAGAGUUUUCAUCUUCAAAUUGGUGCACUGUUAGGCACUCCUCUACAAGUAACUCCAGGUCCUGAGGAUGGCAAGAGUAGUUAAUAUGGAUCCCCUGACGAGUUGAAAGGUCCUUUCUAUCUCCUAAAUACUCUUCAUCAGCUGAAUGACUGGAAAGUAUAGAAGCGUAGAUAUGUAGCUUAGCAUUUCGCUUAACAUGGCAAUGAUGCCAAGAAAUACCCCACUGGAUCUACAAGGAAUGUUGCAUAGUCCGAAUCAUGUUCAUUCGGCACUAGUCGCCUCAUAGAUGGUGGGCGUAAGGAAAAUAUCCUCCAUAAGGAUACAUCCCAAAGUUCACUGCAGCGUGGUGGGCUGACGCAACCCAGGUAAUGGUGGUGAGGAUGAAGAUAAGAUCAUUUGGAGUUUGAGAGUUUGGACCACCAGCUGGCAUGGCAAAUAUCAGCAUGGCCUACAUUGAUAGAUUCAUAGUAACAGGCGUUGAGUUCUGAGUCUGAUUCAAUACUACUGCCUCAUGAUCGUAGUAAUUUACAUAGGUUUCAACAAGUUCCUCAAUGGCAGACCAUAUCAGCAACCCAUCAUUUGCAUGUGGGUAGUCUUGGAUAAAGUUUCAUCCAUGUGGCUGUGUUGGGUCUGGUACUGCCAUUCCUCUGAACAGUAAUGAGAUUAGAGUUAUAUUUUCUGCGAGUGAGAUCAUUAUAAAAAUUAGAGGACUAAUAAUUGCUGCACACAACUUAGGGAAUU